rnacentral:rRNA from 1 species
GAUGAACGCUGGCGGCGUGCCUAAUACAUGCAAGUCGAGCGAACGGACGAGAAGCUUGCUUCUCUGAUGUUAGCGGCGGACGGGUGAGUAACACGUGGAUAACCUACCUAUAAGACUGGGAUAACUUCGGGAAACCGGAGCUAAUACUGGAUAAUAUUUUGAACCGCAUGGUUCAAAAGUGAAAGACGGUCUUGCUGUCACUUAUAGAUGGAUCCGCGCUGCAUUAGCUAGUUGGUAAGGUAACGGCUUACCAAGGCAACGAUGCAUAGCCGACCUGAGAGGGUGAUCGGCCACACUGGAACUGAGACACGGUCCAGACUCCUACGGGAGGCAGCAGUAGGGAAGCUUCCGCAAUGGGCGAAAGCCUGACGGAGCAACGCCGCGUGAGUGAUGAAGGUCUUCGGAUCGUAAAACUCUGUUAUUAGGGAAGAACAUAUGUGUAAGUAACUGUGCACAUCUUGACGGUACCUAAUCAGAAAGCCACGGCUAACUACGUG